GUCUGUCUAGAUUCACGAAUACGAAGAAAGAUGCAGUUUCUCACGCUUCGAAAGUAAUCUUUCCAUCAUUAAACUAUUGGAGGAAGAAUCUUCAAAGGCACUAUGGGAAAGCAUUGUCCAUCUGCUGAGUACAAUCCAUCAAAUUUCCAGCCUGAGUCAUGUGAACAUGAUUUUCAAAUUUAUUUGAAUAAUAGCCAUCACAGCAAAUAUCGAGAUAGGAGGAGUUGCCGGAGACAUUUUUAGGAUCUCAAAGUAGAUACUGCCAUCAGCACUAUCAGUAAGUGCUCUGAAAAUAUAAACCAGUAAGUUCCUUUCCAAGUUGAAUUCUGUUAAGGCUUCUUAAUUAGAUGGUUUUUGUUGCAAAUAACAAAGACACAUGUGUGUUUGAUCUUGAUAUGUGAUUGCAUGCAUCUGUUUUAAAUUUCCAAUCGGUGUAUGGCAAUAGAUUUCAUGCGGUACAUCUGAAUGGUCAUUGAACUUUGUUAUUAUAUGAUGAUUAAAUGUCCUUUUGUUAAUGAAAAUCAAGUUCUUAAUAUAGUAUUAGAAAUUAUAU